AUCCNCCGUGACUCGAACCUUCAGCUGCUGG
rnacentral:piRNA from 1 species